UGAACAUGAAGCGCGCUGUCUUUACAAGGUUGCUGACCAGGUGACUGAAACCAAGCUCCCUCAGCAGUGAACAAGAUUCUGACAUGUGCCCCAGGCUAGCUCUAACGUCACCCGACACAGAGCCUGAUGUUUCUUAACCGCGUCCGCAUGCUUGUUUGUGACUCCAUCAUGCAGCUGUUUGAGCUCAGCCUGUGUAGCUGACAGCAGCACAUGGUGAUGUGAUGAGUUGGGAGCACCCCUGAUAGGGGCUGUCCGCGUAUUUCUUCACCCUGUGGAGAAAAAAACAUUGUCAAGAGACGGUAGCAAAGAGCGAUGAGUCAUGAAUCGGUUACUGUGUAACAAGGGCCAGGAGAGGAAAACCUCACACUGGGGAGCUGCAGACUGAGGAUGGGCAGGACCCGGCUAACAGGACUGGUGUUCCCAGCUCCAUGCUUAGCCUGCGGCUGUAGCUGGCACAGGACACCGUCCUCUCCUGUCCAUUUCCUGAAAUUCUUCUGUCACUGGGAGCAGGAAGCGAACUCUUGAGGUAACUCUAGUCUAUGUCGAGUUGCCAAUAAAAAACUAGCAAGGAUGAAGAAGACUCAUCAAAGUGCCUCAUCAGGAGCUAUAUAUGUGAUGCCGGAGCUUGAAGCUGCUUAAUCCAUGGGCAACUCUAGGCAUCAAGGAAAGUAUGUACUGGUAGACUUAUUUUUCUUGGCCAUAGAGUUCAGUCCUUGAAGGGUAGAUCUUUCUCUUUUAGAUUUCCUUUAUCAUCAUCAUCAUCAUCAUCAUCAUCAUCAUCAUCAUAUUGUGUGUAUAUGUGCAUGCACAUGAUAUGUGGUGGCCAAAAUGCAUGCCAUGGCACAUGUGUAGAGGUCAGAGGACAACCUUAUGGAACUGGAGCUCUCCUUCUAUCUUGAUGCGGCUUCUGGAGAUCAGAUUCAGGGUGACAGGCUUGUGCAGCCUGAGGCAUCUUGCUGGUCCAUGACAACUUUAAUUUUUUUCAUUGCUAAUCCUGUUUGUGAUGUUUCUUAGAGCAGUUCCACUACAAGUGCUCUGGUUAAUUGUGCUGAAAUUCCUGGGUGGUGGGAAGCUGAGAAGACAGAAAUCAGAAGAGGGGGUGGCACUGAAGAGUGGAGUUUCCAUUCUCAGCUCCGCUUCCCAACGGGCCCUGUCUGUUCUUCCGGCUCCUGUUCCGGGUGACAUGGAGUAACACCCGCUAUCUUGUCAGACCCCGCGCAGCAAGGUGGGAAGGGUGAGGACUCAGAGGGCAGCAGGAAUAUCAGGAAAGAAGACUGUAAAUAGUUCACCAGCUCUCUUGUUUUUCCUAUGUGCGUGUUUAUGAUGUGUAUGAGACAGAGUGUGUGUGUGUGUGUGUGUGUGUGUGUGCGUGUGCGCUGUCCCCACAGUGUGUGUGUGUGUGUAUGUGUGUGUGUGUAUGUGUAUGAGCGCGCUGUCCCCACAGUGUGUGUGUGUGUGUGUGUGUGUGUGUGUGUGUGUGUGUGUGUGCGCACGCAGGUCAGAUGACGACUUGUCUCAGUCUUCACUCUCCAUCUCGUGUGAGACCCUUGUUCUUCUCCACUGGGCACACCAGGCUAGCUGGGUGGCAAGUCGGAGAGUUCUCCUGUGUCUGCUUGCCAUCUUGACCUAGCGACACUGAGACUACAGAGGCGUGCCCUACUGUGUCCGGCUUUCCAUGCAGGCUGGGCACCCGAAAAAGCGCCCUUGUACAAAGCCAUCUCCCAGUCCUGACUUUGCCAUUUUUGUUUCGUGGGAUUUUCCUGCUUGGGCUCAAGGCACCAAGAUUCAGUCAUUUUUGUCAUCGCUGUGACAAGUGCCUGGCAGAAAUGACUUCAGGGAGGGGAGGCUUUCAGGCUGUGCUGAGUGCUCCAGUGCAGUGAUGGAGCUGUGGAGGCAGGAGCAUGCGCUAUGGUGACCACCUGGAAAGGCAUCUCUGGCCAGAACCAAAGGCCUGCCCUCGUCACUAACAGGUUCUUUUUGGUUACCAUGCUAAAAAACACUGUGGCUAAAGGCAACCUCAGAGGAAAAGUUUCAUCUGAGGGAAGUUGGGGCAGGAACUCAAGGCAGGAACCCAGAGGUAGGAACCACAGUCCAGGCCUCUCUUCCUGAAGGCUCCUGUGGUAAUUUGAAUGAGAAAUGUCCCCCAUAGUUGGUCCUCAGUUAGAGGUGCUAUUUGGAGAGGUUCAGGUGGUACAGUCCUCCUGGAGAAAGGGGUGGGUCUUGGGAGUAAAAAGCUUCGCCUACUGCAAGUUUCCUCUCGGCUUCAUGCUUAUUGUAAAGGAUGUGAGCUCUUAAUUUUCAGCCUCCUGCUCCAGCUGCUGGCUGUGGUACGGUCCCUGCCUUUGUGGAUUCCAAUGCUCUGGAACUGUAGGCCCAAAUAAACUUUUUUUCCCCAUAAGUUGCUUUGGU